GUGGGUGUAGCUCAGUUGGUUAGAGCGCCAGGUUGUGGUCCUGGAAGUCGGGGGUUCGAAUCCCCUCAUCCACCCCA
rnacentral:tRNA from 1 species